AAGGGGGCUAGCGUUGUUCGGAAUUACUGGGCGUAAAGCGCACGUAGGCGGAUUGGUCAGUUAGGGGUGAAAUCCCAGGGCUCAACCCUGGAACUGCCUUUAAUACUGCCGGUCUAGAGUUCGAGAGAGGUGAGUGGAAUUCCGAGUGUAGAGGUGAAAUUCGUAGAUAUUCGGAGGAACACCAGUGGCGAAGGCGGCUCACUGGCUCGAUACUGACGCUGAGGUGCGAAAGCGUGGGGAGCAAA
rnacentral:rRNA from 1 species